rnacentral:rRNA from 1 species
GGGGAACCCUGAUCCAGCCAUGCCGCGUGUGUGAAGAAGGCCUUAUGGUUGUAAAGCACUUUAAGCGAGGAGGAGGCUCUUUUGGUUAAUACCCAAGAUGAGUGGACGUUACUCGCAGAAUAAGCACCGGCUAACUCCGUGCCAGCAGCCGCGGUAAUACGGAGGGUGCAAGCGUUACUCGGAAUCACUGGGCGUAAAGAGCACGUAGGCGGCCUUGCAAGUCAGAUGUGAAAUCCAACGGCUUAACCGUUGAACUGCAUUUGAAACUGCAAGGCUAGAGUAUGGGAGAGGUAGGUGGAAUUCUCGGUGUAGGGGUAAAAUCCGUAGAGAUCGAGAGGAAUACUCAUUGCGAAGGCGACCUGCUGGAACAUUACUGACGCUGAGGUGCGAAAGCGUGGGGAGCAAACA